ensembl:lncRNA
GGGUGAGGACAGACGGAGAGGCUUCAUCCUCAGCCUCCAGGAGGACCUCAGGGGGCUGUUGGAGAAUGAGGAGCAGGGGCUGGAGGAGCAGAGGGGGCUGUUGGAACAGCUGCAGGAUGCGCAGCAGAAUGGCCACUUCCUGUCGUGUAAGGUGGAGGAAAUGAGGACGGUGGUCCACAGGCUCAAGCUGAAUGAGAGCUCCAUGAUGGAGGAGGUGGAGGAACUGCAAGAGGAGAACCAGAGACUGUAAGAGGCUCAGCCACACCCUGAGACAGAUCAACCACAGCCCGGACUCUACUGACCCCCGUCUCUACCCCCAGCCCUAGCUCUGGUGCCAGCCCAGGGACUCCAGCCCCAGCCUGGCUACCGCCCUGCCAAACACCCCUGCCAUGGCUCAACCAGUCCCCUGCCACAUGGACAACACUGACCCGGUGAGUGAUGACAUUGAAGCUAAUGUGGAGUUGACUCUUAAUCAGUAGUAGAUCUUAAGUCUAAAUUGUUGAAGAGUUCGGCCUCAAGAAUGUAAAUGAGUACAAUUACAAGCAAAUUGUACAAUGGAUUAUAAUGUGGGAUUGUCAUGGGUUUAGCUGCACAGUGGAAUGUUGAUCUGAUUAACUACAGAGGAACUAAAGAGUGUGGCUGGCUUGUGUGUUUGAGACUGGGAGCCUAGGGGACUGGUGUCUUGGUCCUAGGGGCUUCCCCUCUCUCAACCUGAGAGAGGAGACUGAAGCACUGAGAGAGGCUUACUGGAGCAUGGGGGCGACGUGGACUCACUCCGGGACCACAGCUGGAGAGCACGCUCUGACACACACAGGACCAGCUGCACAGGGUGACCGAGGAGAACGCCCGUCUGAAAUGUAAACUCAGGGAGAAAUGGGGGGCCUGUGAGGCGGAGUGGGGGUGCUAGCUAGGAGGGAAAAGCAUGACAGGAAAUGCCCAGGAAAACAGGGUGCCAAUUCAUAACCUAAUUCCCCAGGUUAGCAGAAAGCUUACCACAACUCCAACCCAGAAUAAUACUACCCUAGUCUUAGCCGAUAAUGACCUAACCCUGUAUGCCUUAGCCCUGGAUGACCUAGCUCUAGCUUUGAACCAGGAGAACCAAGGCAUAGGGCAGGCGUAUCAAGGAGCUCCUGCACCACAUAGAGAGCCGGGAUAGUAAGGUUAGUGAGAGGAAGCUAGAGAGGGAGAGCUGGAGCAGGAGAACCAGGAGCAGGGAGGUCUUAUAACCGAGCUAACCAGGAAGACCAAGGAGGACCUCAACACUAUCAUGGAGCUGCAGCAGAGACUGACUGAGAGCGGUCAGCUUGGUCUACAACAGGGUGACCAUGGUUUGACCACUGAGUCAGAGUGUGGUCAAAAGGGUGAGCAUGCGGUCGGGUCAGUGUUCGCUCAACAGGGUCAACCCCCGGUAGGGUUCGUGACCAGUCUACAAGGUGAUCACACGCCAGGGUCGGUGAAUAGUGGUGAACUACAGGUUGACCACACGACCGAGUCAGUUAGGGAUCAAAAGGACAGCCAUUUGACCACAGAGUUAGUAUCCAUGCUGAGAGAGGAGAGGGGCGAGCUAAUUGGGUCUCAGUGAUCUCAAAGGGGAAAGGGAACAGGUUUCCCCUCUCACUCAGGUGUCAGACAGGGAAACACCAGCUAACGCGCUCCGUGUGGGUCCUGGAAGAAGAACGCGACCGGGUCAAUCAGGAACUCUGCGGUUUAAAAGAAGAGCAAGUACAGUUUACCAGGUCUGAAAGAUAAGAGACAAGGUGGUAUGGUCAAUGUGUGGUUUAAAAGAGGAGAGUGACCAGCUAGUUCCGUCAAGGUCUGGACUCCAGGAGGAGAGAGACCAGCUAGUUCAGUCAAUGUCUGUUUUCUACAAGGAGAGAGAACAGCUAGUUCAGUCCAAUGUCUGGUUUCCAGGAGGAGAGAGAUGAGCUCUCGCAGUCUCUCUUCAGUCAAGAAGAUGAGAGACCAACCUAACGAGUCACUCCACAAUCUAGAAGAGGAGCGAGACCAGUUGAUGCAAUCCAUGUGGGGUUUAAAGGGACAGAGAGACUAGCUAACACAGACACUCAGCCUUCUGGAGCAGAAGAGAGACAAACUGCCUUCAAACAGAAGACAGAGACCCGGUCAACCCGUUUAAAGAAGAGCGAGAGCAGUUGGUUCAGUUAAUGGUUGUUCUGUGCGAACAAAGAGAGCAUCUCACAACGGAGAGAGAGACCAGUUGCAGAUGGACGUUGCUCCUUUACGGAAUCAGCUACUGUCACAGGGGCGGAGUCACGACCAGCGGGUACUCUGAGAACCACGUUGGCGUGGCAACACACAUAGAGGGUGUGGCUACAGAGAGCGGGGUCACUGCGCCAAAAUACGGACGAUGACGUCGUUCAGAGAAGUCUGGCCACGGUCUACUCCUACAAGACCAUCCGCCUGGGGCAGUCUGCACAGGGAACACUUGGAAGAGGUGACAGUGGAACAGAGUGAACUGAUGGAGGAGAUCAAGUCGUUGGGGUCAGAACACAGAAGGUCACGAGACGAACUGGAGAAGAACCAAUCGGAGGAUCUCCCUUCCAAGACCAGACACCAGGUUUACUCCAGUCCCCCACCAGGUCAGGGAAACUAUCCAGGUUACCCCAAACCUUGCUGCCCUCAACCGACCCAAGCAUACCCCCAUAACAGCUACCCCUUCUACUACUACUACUACUGCCCCCGCUCGGACUGUUAAAGCACGAAGUACCACUACCUCGUUGAAAACUGCCCCUCCAACAAUUACCCUUAAAACUACAGCCCUCACUAAAGCUGCCCCCUCCACCUCUGCUCUGCCACCCACUGAGAGGACGUGACUGCCUGAUGAGGACCAUUGUGUCAAGAAGCUCCUCUCCAACUGCCAACCUGAACAAGCUAAAGCAACCAAACCCAGAGCUAAGCCGGAACCUCCAGCUGAGGUGGGCUCUGUUGAGGUCAUCAGGAUGGUGGGACAGAGCAGCCUCAUGAUUGGCUGGAUGAGCUGGGCUGCAGCAACGGAACCUUUAUGUAUGGAUACUGCCUCUCACCUGGGAUACAGUAGAAUUGGCUCCACCCAACCACUACAGUCCUCUGGUGGACAGCCCUAACCUCCACCCUAGGAGAGCUGGCCCAGAGAGGGGGAGAUACUGUCACGUUGCUAGGCAACCCCCGCAACGACGGCUUCUGUGAGGCCGAGGUGAAUGGCAGACUAGGUCUGGCUCCUGUUGCCUUCCUAGAGGAAGUUCUUGAUCCAGACAGACAUGUAAGCCCCGAAGCAACAGAUGAUAGACCACUGUGACGGCCAAUCAGAGAGAGCGCAAGAUGAUAGGUCACUGUGACUGCCAAUCAGAGAGAGGACAAGAUGAUGAGCCACUGUGACUGCCAAUCAAAUGAUGCUUCCCUACAGAGAGAUUAUAGUGGCCAACAUUCAUGACGUCAUCAAACGCUGCCUGCCUGUGACAAAAACAUUCAUAAGUGCUCACAGCCUAAAGUCGUUUGAAAUGGAAAGCUACACUAAAGCACUAGCUGAAAUGUGGGUGUGUUUGUGUGUAUGGCCCAGUUUGACAUUGUGCUUCUCCAAACGGAUGCUUUUAACCUACAUCCUGCUCAUUGAGAUCGUGUCAAAUCACCUCUGUUCUUCAAAAUCCCACGCUUUUCUGUGUCUAAUCUCUCGUGGACAGACACACUUAACUGGUAUCCUAGUGUCUGUCAGCAGACUGUGGGAUGCGACGACUAACGAGGAACUUUGUUUCCGGUGCACAGAUUUUUCGUCGCUGAUUAUUUUGGACAAAUCACGAUUUUUCCGCCUUCCUUUUUCGGGAAGAGGAGGGGACAGUUGGACCAUGGACUUGCCUGUAAAUUGCAACUGGAGAGGAGUUAACGGCCUGCGGCCCCUCCGCGUUCUAGUGUUUUUCUAACACAUCUGCCCGCAGAACGUAAUCAAGCAUCUGACACAAUUACACAAGAUUUUAGUUUUGGGUUUCCGAGAUUAUUCUGUAUGUGACAAGUGUCAAAAACGAAGGUGGGCCUGAAUGAUGUGACAACUUGUCUAACAAUCUGUCCGAAAGCCUCUCUAACAUGUUGGUGAUAUCAAGUGAUAAUUUUUUACGUGAUGAUAAAACGAAGUCGUUUUCACAAGGCCAUUUUACUUGAUCUUUAGGCAUCGAGCCAAAUAUGAAAACAAAGCUCCAUCCCAAAGACUUUGAUAUUUCUGUUCCUCGUCGUGACGUUUACAGAAAAUGUUUUUUUUUUUUUUGAUCCAAGUUAAAUCAUGAAGUCAAUUGUCUGAGCUGUUCUUCCACUGUAGAAUCGACUCAAUCUAUGAAGUCAUGCCAUUCAGAUGGAUGGAUGUUUGUGACUGAUAUAUUUUGUAGAGAUGAUUAAAUAACCUGAGGUAUGCAAAGGCUGAGUACUUUAUGUGUGGCUUUCAUCUCCUCAUUCUCUGUCUACAGGCCUAACUGACGUGUAGCUUUUACAUUCUGACCUGAUUCUCCAAAGGCUUCUCAAAUGAAACGGAGAAAAUACACACAUUCUGUUUACUGCAUACUUGUCUUUAACUGAUUAUGAUGUACGGUUGGGGGAAUGGCCAUGCUGCCACAAAUAUAUUUUAUAUAUCAUUCUGUGUUAGAUGUAAUUUGAUUUCCUAAUGAUUCCUUAGGCUGUAUAAAGAGCAUAAAUGUUGAUAGGACACAUCACAUACAAUGGUAUGUAAUUGUGUCUCGAGGAUUACACUCAUAUGCAACCUUGGUUUUACCACUAGGUGGCAGUCAUCGCAACGCCUGUCAGCCUGUUACUCUCAAUAGACAAAUACAUCCCAC